ACAAAUUCCAAACACGCGUCUUUGCCUGAGAAGGCCCCCUUUGAGACUCCGGUCAGCAGAGGGGGUCUCUCUGGUCAUAUGACAUACACUUACAUUCACAAUUGACAACCACAGGAUAUCCACAACUUUAAUCGUUCAAA
rnacentral:misc_RNA from 1 species